rnacentral:rRNA from 1 species
UGAACGCUAGCGACAGGCUAACACAUGCAAGUCGAGGGGCAGCAUAAAAGUAGCAAUACUUGGUGGCGACCGGCGCACGGGUGAGUAACGCGUAUGCAACCUACCUAUCAGAGGGGAAUAACCCGGCGAAAGUCGGACUAAUACCGCAUAAAACAGGGGCACUGCAUGGUGAUAUUUGUUAAAGAAAUUCGCUGAUAGAUGGGCAUGCGUUCCAUUAGGUAGUUGGUGAGGUAACGGCUCACCAAGCCGACGAUGGAUAGGGGAACUGAGAGGUUGGUCCCCCACACUGGUACUGAGACACGGACCAGACUCCUACGGGAGGCAGCAGUGAGGAAUAUUGGUCAAUGGGCGGGAGCCUGAACCAGCCAAGUCGCGUGAAGGAAGAAGGAUCUAUGGUUCGUAAACUUCUUUUGCAGGGGAAUAAAGUGCAGGACGUGUCCUGUUUUGUAUGUACCCUGAGAAUAAGGAUCGGCUAACUCCGUGCCAGCCGCCGC